AUGAUGAUUUUCCCUGCUAGACAUGUUGCUCUGACUAUCAUUCACAGCUUUUCCAUCCAUUCUGCCUUUCUUCCCACUGUCAUCACUUCUAACUAUGGUGUUGUUGUUGUUGUUGUUCUACUUCUUUUUCUUCUUCGUCUUCUCAUUUUCAUUGUCGUUGUUAUCACUACUACUAUUCCUACUAUUGACAGUGAGCAGAGAAGGUAG